rnacentral:misc_RNA from 1 species
AUGUGGGGGGGCUUGCUCCCGAUGACUGAGUGUCAGUGAGUUAUUUAUCAACUGACCCACCGCUAUCGGGAGCAAGCCCCCUCCCAC